CAGCGGUAGGGAUCAUUACAGAGUUGCAAAACUCCCUAAACCAUUGUGAACGUUACCUAUACCGUUGCUUCGGCGGGCGGCCCCGGGGUUUACCCCCCGGGCGCCCCUGGGCCCCACCGCGGGCGCCCGCCGGAGGUCACCAAACUCUUGAUAAUUUAUGGCCUCUCUGAGUCUUCUGUACUGAAUAAGUCAAAACUUUCAACAACGGAUCUCUUGGUUCUGGCAUCGAUGAAGAACGCAGCGAAAUGCGAUAAGUAAUGUGAAUUGCAGAAUUCAGUGAAUCAUCGAAUCUUUGAACGCACAUUGCGCCCGCCAGCAUUCUGGCGGGCAUGCCUGUUCGAGCGUCAUUUCAACCAUCAAGCCCCCGGGCUUGUGUUGGGGACCUGCGGCUGCCGCAGGCCCUGAAAAGCAGUGGCGGGCUCGCUGUCGCACCGAGCGUAGUAGCAUACAUCUCGCUCUGGUCGCGCCGCGGGUUCCGGCCGUUAAACCACCUUUUAACCCAAGGUUGACCUCGGAUCAGGUAGGAAGACCCGCUGAACUUAAGCAUAUCAAU
rnacentral:rRNA from 1 species